rnacentral:tRNA from 1 species
GGUUCUAUAGUUUAAUAAAAACUUUAAAUUGCAAGUUUAAUAAUAGUAAGAAAUCUUAGGACUU